rnacentral:rRNA from 1 species
GCGGGGAAAGAAGACCCUGUUGAGCUUGACUCUAGUCCGACUUUGUGAAAUGACUUAGGAGGUGUAGGAUAGGUGGGAGCUUCGGCAAGCUUGAAAUACCACUACUUUUAAUGUCAUUUUACUUAUUCUCUGAUAUAGAACCCCCUGCUUGCAGAGGUUCUAGUACCAAGGACUUCUCUCGGAAGUCUGAUCUAUGGGGAAGACAUAGUCAGGUGGGGAGUUUGGCUGGGGCGGCACAUCUGUUAAAAGAUAACACAGGUGUCCUAGGGUAAGCUCAAAGAGAACAGAAAUCUCUUGUGGACCAAAAGGGGAAAAGCUUACUUGAUUUUGAUUUCCAGUACGAAUACAAACUGUGAAAGCAUGGCCUAUCGAUCCUUUAUCUUUCAAAGUUUGAAGCUAGAGGUGUCAGAAAAGUUACCACAGGGAUAACUGG